AGCUUUGCGCAGUGGCAGUAUCGUAGCCAAUGAGGUUUAUCCGAGGCGCGAUUAUUGCUAAUCGAAAACAAAAGAUAGUAGAAUAAAAUAUUUAAACUGGUACUUAUUUUUUCUAAAGUAUUUCUCCCAGAUAAGCUAUUAU